rnacentral:rRNA from 1 species
GACGAACGCUGGCGGCGUGCUUAACACAUGCAAGUCGAACGGAAAGGCCCUGCUUUUGUGGGGUGCUCGAGUGGCGAACGGGUGAGUAACACGUGAGUAACCUGCCCUUGACUUUGGGAUAACUUCAGGAAACUGGGGCUAAUACCGGAUAGGAGCUCCUGCUGCAUGGUGGGGGUUGGAAAGUUUCGGCGGUUGGGGAUGGACUCGCGGCUUAUCAGCUUGUUGGUGGGGUAGUGGCUUACCAAGGCUUUGACGGGUAGCCCGCCUGAGAGGGUGACCGGCCACAUUGGGACUGAGAUACGGCCCAGACUCCUACGGGCGGCAGCAGUGGGGAAUAUUGCACAAUGGGCGGAAGCCUGAUGCAGCAACGCCGCGUGCGGGAUGACGGCCUUCGGGUUGUAAACCGCUUUCGCCUGUGACGAAGCGUGAGUGACGGUAAUGGGUAAAGAAGCACCGGCUAACUACGUG